rnacentral:rRNA from 1 species
GCCUGCAUGAAGUUGGAAUUGCUGUAAUCGCGGAUCAGAAUGCCGCGGUGAAUACGUUCCCGGGCCUUGUACACACCGCCCGUCACACCAUGAGAGUCGGGAACACCCGAAGUCCGUAGCCUAACAGCAAUGAGGGCGCGGCCGAAGGUGGGUUCGAUAAUUGGGUGAAGUCGUAACAAGGUAAC